rnacentral:rRNA from 1 species
GCGCAAUUACCCACUCCCGGCACGGGGAGGUAGUGACGAGGAAUAACGAUACGGGACUCAUCCGAGGCCCCGUAAUCGUAAUGAGUAUACUCUAAACACUUGUACGAGUAUCAAUUGGAGGGCAAGUCUGGUGCCAGCAGCCGCGGUAAUUCCAGCUCCAAAAGCGUAUAUUAAAGUUGUUGCGGUUAAAAAGCUCGUAGUCUGUCCUGUGUCCGGCGCCGUCGGUUCACCCCGCCGCGGGUGUACAACUGGCGCGCCAGCCGGACGUCACGCCGGUGGCCACGAAGCCCUCGGGCGGCCGCGGUAAUGGGGUUCGCAAAGGCGAAAGCCGCCGCGUUCGACCGCCGCGACCACCGCCCGUACGGCGGACGGCCUGAAAAUCUCGCAGCGGUGCUCUUCGCCGGGCGCCGAGGCGGGCCGGUUGGUUUACUUUGAACAAAUUAGAGUGCUAAAAGCCGGUGACUUCUGUCGAAGCACCACACAGUGCGCAUGGAAUAAUGAAAAAGGACCUCGGUUCUGUUUUCGUUGGUUCUCGGAAUCCGAGGUAAUGAUCAAUGGGGACGGGCGGGGGCAUUCGUAUUGCGACGUUAGAGGUGAAAUUCUUGGAUCGUCGCAAGACGGACCGGUGCGAAAGCGUUUGCCAAGUACGCUCCCGUCGAUCAAGAACGAAAGUUAGAGGUUCGAAGGCGAUCAGAUACCGCCCUAGUUCUAACCAUAAACGAUGCCUGCCAGCGAUCCGCCGGAGUUCCUUCGAUGACCCGGCGGGCAGCUUCCGGGAAACCAGAGCCUUUGGGUUCCGGGGGAAGUAUGGUUGCAAAUCUGAAACUUAAAGGAAUUGACGGAAGGGCACCACCAGGAGUGGAGCCUGCGGCUUAAUUUGACUCAACACGGGAAAACUCACCAGGCCAGGACACCGGAAGGAUUGACAGAUUGACAGCUCUUUCUUGAUUCGGUGGGUGGUGGUGCAUGGCCGUUCUUAGUUGGUGGAACGAUUUGUCUGGUUAAUUCCGAUAACGAACGAGACUCUGACUUGCUAAAUAGGCGCCCAGCAUCCGCAUACGCGCUGCUGGCGUCCGCAUAUCUUCUUAGAGGGACAGGCGGCUUCUAGCCGCACAAAACUGAGCAAUAACAGGUCUGUGAUGCCCUUAGAUGUCCUGGGCCGCACGCGCGCUACAAUGGGCCAAUCAGCGUGUCAUCCCUGUCCGAAAGGACCGGGCAACCCGCUGAACCUGGCCUGUGCUAGGGAUUGGGGUUUGCAAUUGCACCCCAUGAACGAGGAAUUCCCAGUAAGCGCGAGUCACAAACUCGCGUCGAUUACGUCCCUGCCCUUUGUACACACCGCCCUCGCUAU